rnacentral:rRNA from 1 species
AAUAUUGGACAAUGGGUGAGAGCCUGAUCCAGCCAUCCCGCGUGCAGGAAGAAUGCCUUAUGGGUUGUAAACUGCUUUUAUACAGGAAUAAACCACUUUACGUUUAAGGUGUUGAAGGUACCGUAUUAAUAAGCAUCGCCCAUCUCCGUUCCUGCAUCCGCGGUAAUAAGGAGGAUGUAAGGGUUUUCCGGAUUUAUUUGGUUUAAAAGGUCCGUAGGCGGGCAUAUAAGUCAGAGGUGAAAUCCGACAGCUUAACUGUCGAACUGCCUUUGAAACUGUAUGUCUUGAGUGAGAUUGAAGCAGCUGGAAUGUGUGGUGUAGCGGUGAAAUGCAUAGAUAUUACACAGAACACCGAUAGCGUAGGCAGGUUGCUAAGUCUUUACUGACGCUGAUGGACGAAAGCGUGGGGAGCAAAC